rnacentral:rRNA from 1 species
AGGACGAACGCUGGCGGCGUGCUUAACACAUGCAAGUCGAGCGGAAAGGCCCUUCGGGGUACUCGAGCGGCGAACGGGUGAGUAACACGUGAGCAACCUGCCCUUAGCUCCGGGAUAGCUCCGGGAAACCGGAAUUAAUACCGGAUACGACCACGGCCGACAUCUGCUGUGGUGGAAAGGAUUCCGGCUAAGGAUGGGCUCGCGGCCUAUCAGCUAGUUGGUGGGGUAAUGGCCCACCAAGGCGACGACGGGUAGCCGGCCUGAGAGGGCGACCGGCCACACUGGGACUGAGACACGGCCCAGACUCCUACGGGAGGCAGCAGUGGGGAAUAUUGCGCAAUGGGCGAAAGCCUGACGCAGCGACGCCGCGUGGGGGAUGAAGGCCUUCGGGUUGUAAACCCCUUUCAGCAGGGACGAAGCGAAAGUGACGGUACCUGCAGAAGAAGCGCCGGCUAACUACGUGCCAGCAGCCGC